rnacentral:rRNA from 1 species
UACCAGGGUUUCCGUAGGUGAACCUGCGGUAGAAUCAUUA